ensembl:snRNA LOC120099429 U6 spliceosomal RNA
GUGGUCACUUUGUUGGCACAUAUACUAAAGUUGAAAUGAUAUGGAAAAUUCUAGCAUGCCACUGCACAAGGAUGGCAGGCACAUUUGUAAAGCAGUUAUACUUUUGU